AAGUCGCAGGGGAAGCCCCUUUCGGGGGGUGGAGACUGGCGGACGGGUGAGUAACGCGUGGGAAUUUGCCCUGGGGUGGGGGACAACCGCUGGAAACGGCGGCUAAUACCGCAUACGCCCCUAUGGGAGACUGUAGGGGGAAAGCAGCGAUGCGCCCUGGGAGGAGCCCGCGUUGGAUUAGCUAGUUGGUGGGGUAACGGCCUACCAAGGCAACGAUCCAUAGCUGGUCUGAGAGGAUGAUCAGCCACACUGGGACUGAGACACGGCCCAGACUCCUACGGGAGGCAGCAGUGGGGAAUAUUGGACAAUGGGCGCAAGCCUGAUCCAGCCAUGCCGCGUGAGUGAAGAAGGCCUUAGGGUUGUAAAGCUCUUUCACCCGUGACGAUGAUGACGGUAGCGGGAGAAGAAGCCCCGGCUAACUCCGUGCCAGCAGCCGCGGUAAUACGGAGGGGGCAAGCGUUGUUCGGAAUUACUGGGCGUAAAGGGCGCGUAGGCGGACCUUCAA
rnacentral:rRNA from 1 species